AUUCAGUUCGCAACCAAAUUUAGCAUAAUCACCUUUCAUCUACCUCAAAUAUCCAUAAGAUGCUUUAUAACAGAAGGAUAUUAAUGCUUCACAUUCGUGCACUCUAGAAUAGCAAGUUAUAAGAACUUCACCCCAAUCCUUACCAACUAGCGAGAGAGUUAAACUUAGCUUUAGGGAGAAUGUCCGAAUAUGAUUCCCGCCGGAGUCAACGCCUCUCCUCUCUAACAAGCAUCCAUUGCACGCUCGCAGCUACCGGCCGGCCAAUCCGAGGACGAUCUAGCUGUGAUUUCUUCCAAAUCAGUGGUUCCCGGAAGAAAUCCCAAUCUCUACUUGGAAGAAAUUAUCUGAGCUGAAUACUGCGAUCGGAGCAGCAACGACGAGGCGAUGAUGGAGAUUUAGGAAUCAGGCACUUUCCUCCGCAGGGACGCAGGCUGAUUCAAUCCUUUACAUCGGCGGGCACCGGCGGGCUAACGCAGGGAGGCGGAGCGGCGAAGCGGCGGGCUGACGCAGGGAGGCUCGACGGCGAGCGGCGGGGUUCUGACUCCUCUAAAGCGGCGAGCGGCGGGGUUCUGACGCAGGGAA
rnacentral:lncRNA from 1 species